rnacentral:rRNA from 1 species
UACGUAGGGAGCGAGCGUAAAUCGGAAUUACUGGGCGUAAAGCGUGCGCAGGCGGUUGUGCAAGACAGAUGUGAAAUCCCCGGGCUUAACCUGGGAACUGCAUUUGUGACUGCACGGCUAGAGUACGGCAGAGGGGGAUGGAAUUUGGCGUGUAGCAGUGAAAUGCGUAGAUAUGCGGAGGAACACCGAUGGCGAAGGCAGUCCCCUGGGCCUGUACUGACGCUCAUGCACCAAAGCGUGGGGAGCAAACAUG